GCCCUGGGUCGGGCCCGCCGAGACUCCCCGGCCCCCGCCCCUGGGCUGCGGCGGCGCCGGGAGAGCCUCCCGAGGGAAUCCCUCAGCUCGCUCUGCUGGAAAGGGGGCUUCGUCACGAACCGGUGCUUCGGGUUCUCAAGCCCGGCGCAGGGAGCGCCCAUUGUGCGAUGGAGCCGCCGCCUCGCUGCCGGACGGGGCAACGCGAGCUGUGUGGGCAGGUCCUGCAGAGGCAGAUGGACACCGGGACCUCCGUGACUCCUGCAAGCCCCGGGAGCCCUCCACCACUUAGGGUCUCGCUCACCUUCCUCUCCUGCAGGGAGUUAGGCCAGAGGCAGAAUAGACUGGCUCAUUGGUGUCCCCGGACUCAACAAAGUAGCUUAGAAAUCAGGGCUGGGUAAAAGGGGCCAGAGAAUUCCCCAGUGCCCACUUCAGACACGAUCAUUUCAUGGGUGCAUGCUGCCUUUACCGAUGUGCCUUAACCCCGCAGGCAGUGCAUUGCACAAGUUUGGUUUUCCGUAUGUGAUGCCCACCAAAUAAGGGCUCUGCCUCUAAUCAAUAAAACCCCCAUGCUGUUCCCUUUAUCGCAGAAAACCGCAGACUUAACUUUUAGAACAUGCAGCGCAGGUAAAACCAGUUUUGAAUCUUGACUUUAUGGACUCCAACCCUUCGGAAUGCUAAAAGCUGUUCAGUAGAAAAGGUAGUAAAUAGAAAGAGACAAAAUAUGCAAAACGUUACACCCAAAUAAGAUCACUGAUACUUUUAGCUAUAAACUGGAGGUAAACCCAAAUGAAAUUAUAUUAUUCACUGUAGAGCAAAAUGGUGCAAUGCACCCACCCGAUGUUUACAUUAAAAUCCUACUCACAGAGAUUUGCAAACAAAAAGAUUUACAAAUUUACAUUCCCCCCCUCCCCCAGAACAACCACAGUAAGACUGAGGAAUGAAAAAUAUUUUUGAAUGGCAUCUGAGCAGAGUGUUGAAAUCACUAGACUAGUCUUCCAGGUUCUCAGCUGCUGAAAUGACAAAGCUUGAAAACUGGUGUACAAUUUGUACCUUUCCAUUAAUUACCAUGUGUCAGAUUAUUUUUUUAAAUACAGAUUAUUUUUUUGAUCUAUGCCAACUAUGGAGUAGAUCACAAGACAGUCAGUUCCAGUAGCAUGUGAUUAGCUAGGGGAAGAAGAGGGGCUACAGAGGAAUAUUUCUUUGUUUGGGUGACACAAAGAUGAAUGGUCUAUUGUCUGUCUGGAAAAGAAAAAGAGCCAACUCAACAGUGCCAUCUCCUGGAGAAAUUACCAAAUGCACUUCUUUACAAGUAUUGUUGCAGUUCUCUGUACCUUCACUUCUGAAUAUAUUGCUUUUAGUUACCAACCAUAUGCUUACAGAAUGUAUAUUGCCUUCUUCAAACUGGACCAGUUGCUAGGAACAUGGUACUUUGCAUAUGGCACUGAGAAAAUGUUUUGAGUGAAUGAACUUUUUGAAUUUUACUUUCAUCUGACAAAGGCACUAUAUACAAAAGUUGCACUGUCAGACCUCCCUUGUGAAAUACUACAGUUAAGAUCUUACCUCACUUGCAGGACUAAAAUAUAUCAAUUACCUAUUACUAAAAACUGUACUUUUUAAAAUAUUUUAUUUAUUAUUUAUUUAUUUAUUAUAGUCACAGACAGAGAGAGAGAGAGAGGCAGACACAGGCAGAGGGAGAAGCAGGCUCCAUGCACCGGGAGCCGGACGUGGGAUUCGAUCCCGGGUCUCCAGGAUCGCGCCCUGGGCCAAAGGCAGGCGCCAAACCGCUGCGCCACCCAGGGAUCCCAAAACUGUACUUUUCUCCAAGAUACAUUCUAUAGCAGAAGUAUCGAUAGAAAGCAGUUAUACAUCACAAAAUCAUCACUUUUCCUAUAUGAAAUUUAGUAUGAAUUCAACCUACUCAAAUAACAUCAUUUAUUUUGACAUCAUGGACUACAACAUCCUACAAAUGUCAAUGAAGAUAACAUGCAAUCAAUUCUGCAUUAUCCACAUAUGGAUUAGCCAUGUUGUAUAUAGUCCAGAACUGCCUUUAUGUACAGACAUCAUAAAAAAAUGCACAUACACUGGAUCUCUUCCAAGGAACAGAAGCUGGAAUUAAAAGUUAAAAGCAUUUAAGAGAACUCAAAUUGUCCCAGAGAAGUUCUGAGGAUCAUGCUUCUUUAAAUGUCCUUGAUAACCUCUUCGAGUUCUUCCUUUGUGAACAUGUGGAAAUUCUGGCCAGGCUGCACCGUGGCUAGCUGCAAAGAAAGCAGAGAAGGGUUGACGAGCUGGGCUUGAUUACCAUGCAGAUAGCACUAGGUCAGGAGAAGCUGUGUUAGUGAUGCAGCUGUUCAUUAGGAACUAAGGGAUCUGCUGUCCCAGGGAUAUCCUUUCCAGCCGUGGGUUCCUAAAAUAGCUCUCUGACUCCCAAAUUAAAAUCCUUAUUGACCAAAUUUUCUAUUUUGAGGUUAACUUACCACACAAUAGUUAACCAAAUGCCUGGUGUCAUUGUCAUUUCUUGAAGUUACUUCAAUAAGGAUCAGAAAAGCAACAGCAAAUUGCAUAGCAUCAGUACUUUUUUCUGUUAACGAUUCCUUUAGAAAUAUAUAUAUAUAUAUAUAUAUUUUUUUUUUUUAGAAAUAUUUUUAAAGUGUAUUUACCCACUUGCAAGUGAAGCUUGUAUUGUGUGACCUGUUUCUUGGCCACUCAGUGUUUCAAUUUCCAUCAGUAAAAUGGGAUAAUAAUAGCACCUAACUUAUACAGAAGUUGUGAAGAUUAAAUGUGUUAACAUAUGUAAAGUGCUUACAACACUGCCUAGAACAUUAUAAUAAGUACUAAAUAAAAAACAAA